GGCAGUUCUGGGGUGACACACACCAGAAUCGGGCUCCCUCCUGUCUAAUUCCAGGUGUGUAACCCAAGAACCACA
rfam:Myotis brandtii contig205441, whole genome shotgun sequence.